GCGCGAAAACUUUACAAUGCGGGAAACCGUGAUAAGGGGACACCGAGUGCCAGCAUCAUAUGCUGGCUGUCCGGAUGUGUAAAAUACAUCCGUUAGCAAGGGCCGGGCAAGACCGGUGCCAGCCGCCGCGGUAACACCGGCGGCCCGAGUGGUGAUCGUGAUUAUUGGGCCUAAAGGGUCCGUAGCCGGUUUGGUCAGUCCUCCGGGAAAUCUGAUAGCUCAACUAUUAGGCUUUCGGGGGAUACUGCCAGACUUGGAACUGGGAGAGGUAAGAGGUACUACAGGGGUAGGAGUGAAAUCUUGUAAUCCCUGUGGGACCACCUGUGGCGAAGGCGUCUUACCAGAACGGGUUCGACGGUGAGGGACGAAAGCUGGGGGCACGAACC
rnacentral:rRNA from 1 species